rnacentral:rRNA from 1 species
UACGAAGGGGGCUAGCGUUGCUCGGAAUCACUGGGCGUAAAGGGUGCGUAGGUGGGUCUUUAAGUCAGAGGUGAAAUCCUGGAGCUCAACUCCAGAACUGCCUUUGAUACUGAGGAUCUUGAGUUCGGGAGAGGUGAGUGGAACUGCGAGUGUAGAGGUGAAAUUCGUAGAUAUUCGGAGGAACACCAGUGGCGAAGGCGGCUCACUGGUCCGGUACUGACGCUGAGGUGCGAAAGCGUGGGGAGCAAACAGG